UACGAAGGGGGCUAGCGUUGCUCGGAAUCACUGGGCGUAAAGGGUGCGUAGGCGGGUCUUUAAGUCAGGGGUGAAAUCCUGGAGCUCAACUCCAGAACUGCCUUUGAUACUGAGGAUCUUGAGUUCGGGAGAGGUGAGUGGAACUGCGAGUGUAGAGGUGAAAUUCGUAGAUAUUCGGAAGAACACCAGUGGCGAAGGCGGCUCACUGGUCCGGUACUGACGCUGAGGUGCGAAAGCGUGGGGAGCAAACAG
rnacentral:rRNA from 1 species